ACAGUUAUCCUUGCGCAGGUAUUAUUUCGUCUCAUAUUUUGCCGUUUCGAAAUUACUAUUAUGAAUGAUCUCUAAGGUCUUCCUAAAGUGUAGCUGAGUGAAAUAACUAUUGUGCUAUUCGGUGAGGUCAGUAUUUUUAUCGGCCAGGUAGUCUCACGUCAUUAGCAGCUGAGAGAAGCAGACACCACUGAACUGGCAACACUUAGCACUAGUAAGCUGGUAACUCUGGGCAGUCAGCGCCAAGCUACGUAAUCUGGUGUGUAUUGUGUCGAGCGGGACGUUCAUCAAUUUAGCUUCUUCAGUUAUAGCUAAAGCUUGUUGGGGCACUUCAGCUGUUCAGGAAGGAGUGAAUACCAUUGUCAUUCCUGCAUUGCAAAAUCAAGUCUCUGAAACUGAUCAUAGAAUUCAGUGAUGGAUGAUUGUGGGUUUCUCUACGCCUCUCCUGCUGACUCCAUAAAAUGUGAUCCAAAAGAAAGGACCUUGGAUCGCCGGUAGGUGGCUGAGGGCAGGGAGGGAGCGGAGCGGAGCCACACACACCAUCCCCCCCGCGGCCGGCAAGACACUGCUGCAUCCCUGGCAGCCUUCACCCACCCACAGAGUUAGUUCGUGAGGAUUCACCAACGAGUAUGAUUAAGAGCCUGAGCUGAGUGAUGCCUGGGACCUUUUGAGGUUGAGCUCAGCAAUGUUUGCGAGCUCCUUGUGGAUGUCCACGUGCGCCUUCUCCUCAUCCCAGGAGAGAAAACCUGCGGACGAAGAGGCAAGCCGAGAGCAAACGAGUUGGAGACGGCCACACACACAAAGAAAGGUA